rnacentral:misc_RNA from 1 species
GAUGAAGAACGUAGCGAAAUGCGAUACUUGGUGUGAAUUGCAGAAUCCCGUGAACCAUCGAGUCUUUGAACGCACAUUGCGCCCCCUGGUAUUCCGGGGGGCAUGCCUGUUCGAGCGUCAUUUCACCACUCAAGCCUCGCUUGGUAUUGGGCAUCGCGGUCCGCCGCGUGCCUCAAAUCGACCGGCUGGGUCUUCUGUCCCCUAAGCGUUGUGGAAACUAUUCGCUAAAGGGUGUUCGGGAGGCUACGCCGUAAAACAACCCCAUUUCUAAGGUUGACCUCGGAUCAGGUAGGGAUACCCGCUGAACUUAAGCAUAUCAAUAAGCGGAGGA